CUCUCCAGACACGCCCAGGGACCUGUGUUCCUCCAGGAACCUCCCCCGUGGGUAGAGUUCUCCAACUCCAGUGGAGCCGUCCUCAGCUGUUCCGCCCAUGGGAAUCCGCCCCCAGACAUCCGGUGGAUAGAUGCCUCGGAGAAGGAAGUCUCUCACAUCCCUAGACUAAGGGAGGUGCUCAACAACGGCAGUUUGUAUUUCCCGCCAUUUUCUCCCGAAGAGUUCAGCAACGAGGUGCACGUUGCCACUUACAGAUGUUCCGCCACUAAUGCUGUCGGGGCCAUCGUGUCGAGAGAGAGCAAAGUCAGAGCAGAUGUUGUUCAAUCUUACAAACUACAAGUACACAAUGUGUUCGUUAUACGUGG